UCCUCGGUAGUAUAGUGGUGAGUAUUCCCGCCUGUCACGCGGGCGACCCGGGUUCGAUUCCCGCCCGGGGAG
rnacentral:tRNA from 1 species